rnacentral:rRNA from 1 species
GACGAACGCUGGCGGCGUGCUUAACACAUGCAAGUCGAACGGGCCUUGUCCCCUUUUUUUUUGGGGGUGGGGUUAGUGGCGAACGGGUGAGUAACACGUGAGUAACCUGCCCCUCACUUCUGGAUAACCGCUUGAAAGGGUGGCUAAUACGGGGUGUUCUGGCCUGCUCGCAUGGGUGGGUUUGGAAAGAUUCGACCGGUUUUGGUUGUUUUGGGGGGGGAUGGGCUCGCGGCCUAUCAGCUUGUUGGUGGGGUGAUGGCCUGCCAAGGCUUUGACGGGUAGCCGGCCUGAGAGGGUGGGCGGUCACACUGGGACUGGGACACGGCCCAGACUCCUACGGGAGGCAGCAGUGGGGAAUAUUGCACAAUGGGCGCAAGCCUGAUGCAGCGACGCCGCGUGAGGGAUGGAGGCCUUCGGGUUGUGAACCUCUUUCGCCAGUGAAGAAGGUCCUGCUCUUUGUGGUGGGGUUGACGGUAGCUGGGUUAAUGAAGCGCCGGCUAACUACGUG